GUUGGAGGUCAUUAAGAAGUAACAAUAAGCUCCACCCACAACCCAAGCUUUGACCACUUGUGAAGCUGAAUAAAAUGCCAGACUGUGACAGAAUUCACAGUAGACUGUGCAGAGCUUCAUAAUGAAUGUUUGUCUCUUUUUUGCCUGCUUUGAUCAGCAGUGAAAUAGUUAACAAAACUGACAUGUGAGGAGGGCACCGUACACAACUGAACUGGUUUCUGUGAGCUGGGGCAAAGGAUUCACCCACACAUGGCCCUGCAGUGGUUCCCCUGGGAGUUGAUGGAGUUACUCUGGAUUUACGUCAAUGCAACUAAGAUAUGGAUGAUACAACAAUACUUACUAGAAAUGGAUGAUGCAAGAAUAAACACUGAUUAACAAAAGGAUAGAAGACAGAUAUGAAUAAUGAUAACAGGCACCUCAAGCUACCCAAAUAUUUAAUCAAAAUAAGCAGGCAAAAAGUCAGUCAAUCAAACAAACAAAAAUCCAAACCAACAGCAAACCAACACAAAGAUACAUAUUCAACCACAGGAAAGAUAAUAUCAAAGCAGGUGUUCAAUUUCUCAUCCAUUUUCUAUUACAGAACCAAAGAAAGUGGGUUGGUUGAGGACACUGUUAUGCCAUCUUUACAUCGUCCAACCAUUGGAUCACUGAGGCAUGUGAAAGCUUCUUAUUGAACCCUGAGGAUCAACACGUUGUAUGAGCAGGGACAGAGGAGAUCUGCACAGCUAUAAAACUUGCAAACUCUGCAAGAACCCUUCUGAAGGCUCAGGAAAAGGGCAACACAGCUCCAGGAAAAUAGAGCAGGAGGGCUGCACUGAGAUUGGCAUAAGCCGCUUAACAAGACUGAGCCAAGAAAAUAAUAUGGACUUUGGUUAUUUUCCCAGGAGCUCUUCAGAAGGCAGUGAUUUUUUGACAAAUUGUGCAAGUCCUAGAGAUGGGUCUAUUGUUGUCAGGGCAUUUUUCUAUUACCAUUUUAUACAGCUUCACAACUCUUCCUAUCUUAGCAAUUCUAACAAUAAAAAAUCAUCAGAUUUCCUUUUGCUAUUUUAAAUGGCUAUUGUUCUACUGUAUUUAAUCAUUAAGGAACCAGAAGGGACAUAUUUUAUUGAAAAAUGUUCAUUCGACCCUCUAGAAACAGCAACUUGAAGCUUUAUAACAGGCUAUCCAAACUGUUUGGACAGAAAUAAAGCAGCAUGUUUGAAGCACAUGUUCAUCUUGGAUUGUUUAUGUUUAUGGCCUAAGUUCUUUGCAGUGCAUUGUUAUUUAUGACAACCGAAUGUAUAAUAUUUUUGAUUCAACACUGCUUUAGUUCUACAGCAGCUAACUGAAAUC